CUUUUAUAAAUUCCAAUAUGUAAGAGUAUUUAUUUAAAACAGAUGGAUCAAGAGAUAAGGCCCAUGUUCAAAUUAGUUUAUGAUUUAGUGUUAGGAAUAUUACAUAAAUUAAGAGAAGUGUCAGAGUGAAUAAAUGUGUUAAAGUAAGACGUGAGGUAACCACAGAAUAAAAAAAUGGUUAUUGCACUCCAGGUACCUAUUCAUUUGGUGCUAUGUGAAGUUUGAAAGAACAAGAGUGGUGCUUUCAACUGCCUGCAAGUGUCAAGGCAAGCUUACAAACACUCAUGUAAAUUGAUGGGACCAAUGCCACAUUCAAAUCUAGACCACAGAUACAAUGGCACCUUCUGUAAAUAUUGUUUUUACAGGUGGGGUACAAUAUCCUUUUUUAAAAUCCAGUUUAAUUAGCAGGCAGAUGGUGGCCAAUUCUAAUAUAAUCAAUAAUUACAAAAGUCUGCAGUUUAUGAUGGACUCAAUUUUGAAAAAGUUAACUCAUGGAAACAUCCCAAUUAAAAUAAAAACAUUUAAAACUUAACCUAUUAAGGACACAGUUUCAGAAGCUUGUCUUACCCUUAAGGACAAGUAUUUUUAUUAAAUUUUUUUGCUGCUUGUGUUCAACCGCAAUCUGCAUCUUUCUCAUUUAUUGCACCAACGCAUAUUUACAUAUUUGGGGUUUUGUUUUUUUUAGAUGACAGAGGCUUGAAAUUCGAUGUCACAUAUAAAUUCUCAUUAAUUAUAAAAGAAACAAAAAAAACCUUUUCUUUCCACAGCUUAUGCAAUACUGUGUGCAUGAUAUGUCCAGUUUAGGAAAAGUAAUUCAAAAUAAACUCAUUUAUGUGCCUAGAUUUAUAGACUACAUAAUGUGUAUUGGAUUUCAUCUUAUUUUGAAAAUUACAGGUCAGAAAAUACAAGGACAAAAAUAAAAUUUCAAUGGGAAACCAUUUUAGAAGUUGGCAUGUUUGUAGUGUAAGUUUAGUAGCAUCACAAAAAACAAAAUUGCCAUAUUUUAUAAAUAUAAAGUAGACAUCACAGGCUAUUUACCCGUGGUUAUUUUGACACUUUUUACUUGGCCAUUUCAUCGCCAACAUCUGCUAAAUAUUGGAGUAAAAUUGUUUUGUCCCCCCUUCUAUUUUGGAUAUAUACACAUAUAACAAGGUUUUUGUAAUGUGUAUUUUGUAAAGCUGGCGUAUGCUAUCCCUGUACACAUAUUGUGGUCAGCUACAUCUGCUGAGUACAAUGAUACACCAUUGUAUGCCUUUUAGUGCUGCAAUGCCAUAUAAGAGACAAAACUAUUUCAGUUUCUCUAGUUAUAAUUUUCAUAGAUGGAUUUGAUGGGUCUAUGUCUCAAUUUGGGGUAUUAUAGCAGUUUGACUGUUCAAAUAACCCAACAAAGGGUUUCCAUUUGAGAAAGCAGACACUCCAGGGUAUUUUAUAUGGCGUAUGUUGUGCCUUAACUUGUCACCAUUUUUUUUCACCAGUGUAUGUCAAUGUUUGUGGUGAGGGGGGAAAAUUUUUUACAUAUAUGUUUUGGUUUGGUAUUU